UUUCAACGACGUCGCCUCAUAAACUCGAUUAGAAGCUUUCAAGAGAAGAGCAAAUGAAUUUUCAAUACAAAAAGGGAGCAGUGGAUGCCAAGUUUGGUAUAAAGAAAGCGUCGGAGCUGCAGCAAAACUUGCAGUCCAUUGAUGUUGUUGUGACUAAUGGGAGUAGUUCAUGUGAAGAGAACAGCUAGUGGAUUUGAUCUUAUCAUUUGCUGCAUUGCAUGGAAUUUGUAGAGUUGGGCUCAUUUGUUCUUCGUUUUGUCUGUUUUUCAGGCAAAAAACUCGGUCCUUCAAAUGGAGUCUUAUCUGCUUGAUGAGAUUCUACGACAUUUUUUAUGUGACGUGUUAAUUUUCAUGUAGGAUGUCUUCUGGGAAUUCCAGUGUGGAUGAGGAAGCAAUGCAAAGGCAUCUCUAAUAAUUCAUAUGCCUUCUGGAAAUUCCAGUGCCACGGUUCUGUGUGUUGUUCCCGUGGAUGAGGAUGCCUUCAGGAAAUUCCAGGGCGAGGGUUGUAUGUGUUACUCCUGUGGAUGAGGAGGUGAUGCAAAGGUGUAUGUAAAACUGUAUAAAGACCAUACUGCUAUUGAAGCAGAGAUAGGUUACUGAGCUAAAGCAUAUUAGCUCUUCUUCUCAGCGCAGAACGACGCCAAAAAGGUCACUCCAUUCUUCCUUCCGACGCUGCACCGACUAUUCUUGCUGCUCAGCGUGGAGGACGCUCUGGUGGUGGUUUCCGG
rnacentral:sRNA from 1 species